CCUACGGGCGGCAGCAGUCGAGAAUCAUUCACAAUGGGGGAAACCCUGAUGGUGCGACGCCGCGUGGGGGCAUGAAGGUCUUCGGAUUGUAAACCCCUGUCAUGUGGGAGCAAAUUAAAAAGAUAGUACCACAAGAGGAAGAGACGGCUAACUCUGUGCCAGCAGCCGCGGUAAUACAGAGGUCUCAAGCGUUGUUCGGAAUCACUGGGCGUAAGGCGUGCGUAGGCUGUUUCGUAAGUCGUGUGUGAAAGGCGCGGGCUCAACCCGCGGACGGCACAUGAUACUGCGAGACUAGAGUAAUGGAGGGGGAACCGGAAUUCUCGGUGUAGCAGUGAAAUGCGUAGAUAUCGAGAGGAACACUCGUGGCGAAGGCGGGUUCCUGGACAUUAACUGACGCUGAGGCACGAAGGCCAGGGGAGCGAAAGGGAUUAGAUACCCGAGUAGUC
rnacentral:rRNA from 1 species